GCCUCAGCCUCCUGAGUAGCUGGGAUUACAGGCUCCCAUCACCAUACCCAGAUACACUUGGAAUCAAUCUACUCCAGGAAGUCUCUCCAAACCACAUAUGGAAAAUAUGAUAUCUUCUAUGGAGGAAGACAGUGGCAUGGAUAAUUCAUACAAAUGUUCUCAUUGCAUGGGUUAAGUAUUACCAUAAGGUAAGCCAAUAUCCUUGGGUCUGGUUUGCUUUACCAUCUCUUUCCCACCUCAGCUUCCACAUACCUCUGCUUCAGACCACGUAAUCCUUAUUACACCAGUUUGUAUCCUUUCUUCUGAGCAUUCUGGCCUCUGCCUCUCUUGUUUACUGUUUACCUAGGAGUCUAUUUUUUAAAAUCCCGCAAAAGCAAUAUUAAUAUUCACAAGCAGGUGGCAAGUAAAAAGAAUUGAUUGGGGCCCAGAAGGCUUUACUUCCUAGAAGAGGUUUCAUCUUACUAGCUGAUUCAAAGACACGUAAUAGAGUUGAAAGAGAGCAUGAGCUUUGACAUACAGAGCAAGGAAGUCCCAAGAGUUAUUUGCUUUGUUAAUAUUACUUAAGCUGUUUAAUCUUUCCAGCCUCAGUUUCCUCAUCUAAAGUGAUAUCAAGGAUAACUAUAUGGCACAACUAUUUUAUUUAUUCAUGUAUUUAUCAAUUAAUUUGAGAAUGGAAAUAGCAUGUGUCAUUUAUAUAUUAAAACAAGAUAUAAAAAUACAAAUGAUUUCUUGCCUUCAAGAGAUAUGUAAUAGGUUAAUGGGAAAUAAAAAAAAAAAAUCAGAUGUUAGAGUAUUUUAAAGUGGUAUGUUUGCAGUAAGUGCAGGUAUAUUGGAGGCAGAAAAAGGGAAAUUACACAUUUUUCUUUGGAGGAUAAAGAAAUCAUUCAGGAAAAUCAAGCAGUAGUAAGGGUUGACACUUGAGCUACAGUGGAGGAAGGAUGUAAUUAUUCUAGAUAUUUCUUAAUAUAUUCAUUUAUUCAUUUCUUUAUUCCUUCCGCAAAUAUUUAUUGUGUGCCCAGUACAUGGUAGUGAAAGUAGGGAUGAAUAAAAAAGAGAUGGUCCUUUCUAAGACAUGCGUAUUUCUUCCGUUGUCACAGUACUUACAGUCAAUGUGAAAGGAAAACAACUAUGUUAACAGAAGUGCUCUUAAUAGAUCUCCAUUUAACUGAGUUGGCAAAUUAACCAAUAUGAUCAAUUUCCUUUGCAAAACACUCUGAUUAACAUUCAGGGCUCAGGGAAAGCUCACAGCUAGUAGAUGAUGCUCCAGUAAGCCUACCCAUUUUUCUCAUUGGUUCUGUUGCAUGCUUGCCAGGAAUUAGUUGUGUUUAUUCCCAAACCAUUGCCAGUUGACUUCGUAUUGUAACCAUGUAAUAAAAAUAACAUUGCUUCAGUAAUUCAAUGAAAUAGAGUAUAAAAUGAAAGAAUUGCUUCUUUGAAAAUUAACUUGAAUUUUUUGGAGAGAUUCAAUAAAGGAGAAUUGCUAAAAGCUUUCCUAUGAAAUUAGGUGGAGGAGAUACAAUGAACAAAGACUCAGAAGGAAAAAAAAAAAAAAAAAACCUUUAAUAAUCCAGAAAGUUCACAUUUAGAUUGGUUUGCAAAUAUGUUUUUUUUUAGUUUAAAGAAAGUGAAAUUGGAAAUUAUGGAUGGUACACUAUCGUAAAGAAAGACUGCCUGGAUCUUCAGUCAAUGGACCUGUUUCCAAAUUAAAGGCUAUAUCCUUAAAUUUAAAAAUAGGUGAAUGAAUAACUGUAUUAUAUUAAAAUAAAUGUUUAAGAAAUGUAAAUAUCUAUGCUUCUUAGAUUUGAGUCUAUUUUAAUAUUAGCAAUCAUAUGAGAUAAGAGGGCUUCUAGUAAAGAAACAUAUGUUGUGGAUAUGUUGUGGUAUGGAAUGUAUUAAGAGCUUGGAAAUCUACAGUGGAGGACAUGAUCAAUCCUAGAGAAUAGGAACUCUGAAAUAGAUUGAGCCAGGCAAAGAAAAGGGGUAGGGACAAGAGACCAUUCAAUGUAAGCAAAACAGAGA